rnacentral:rRNA from 1 species
CACGUAGUUAGCCGGUGCUUUUUCUGCAGGUACCGUCACUUUCGCUUCUUCCCUACUAAAAGAGGUUUACAACCCGAAGGCCGUCGUCCCUCACGCGGCGUUGCUGCAUCAGGCUUGCGCCCAUUGUGCAAUAUUCCCCACUGCUGCCUCCCGUAGGAGUCUGGGCCGUGUCUCAGUCCCAGUGUGGCCGGCCACCCUCUCAGGCCGGCUACCCGUCGUCGCCUUGGUGAGCUAUUACCUCACCAACUAGCUGAUAGGCCGCGAGUCCAUCCUUGACCGAAAUUCUUUCCAGCUCCUAGCCAUGCGGCUGAAGCUCGUAUCCGGUAUUAGACACCGUUUCCAGUGCUUAUCCCAGAGUCAAGGGCAGGUUACUCACGUGUUACUCACCCGUUCGCCACUGAUCCCCCGGGAGCAAGCUCCCAAGUUCACCGUUCGACUUGCAUGUGUUAAGCACGCCGCCAGCGUUCAUCCUGAGCCACGGAUCAAACUC